AUGGUGCACCUCGCCAGGCCGCGUCCCCCGCCCGCGCUGCUCCUCCACGCGUCGCGGCCGCCGCUCCCCGCCGCGCUGCCCCUGCCCCUCCUCCCUCCUCCCGCGCUCUCCUCGCUCCUCCUCGCGGCCGUCGACUCCUCCCCGUCCCUCCGGCACCUCCGCAGCCUCCAAGGGCUCCUCGUCCGCCUGCCGCUCCCUGCCCACUCCCUCCCCUACCUCCUCUCCCGCCUCCUCCGCCGACUCGCCGCCCUCCCGCCCCCGCACGCCCCGCUGCCAUACGCGCUCUCCGUCUUCUCCGCGCACUCUCCCCCGGACCCGUUCCUCGCCGCCGCGCUCCUCCGCUUCGCGCUCCUCACGCAGCCGCCGCUGAGCCCCUUCCGCCUCUUCUCCCGCCUCCUCCACACCCCCCGCGGCGAGCUCCCCUUCCUCCCGUUCGCCUUCUCCCCGCUCGCCAAGUCCGCCGCGGCCGCGCGCUCCCUCCCGGCCGCCCAGGCCGCCCACGCGGUCUCGAUCCUCCUCGGCGGCUUUGAUAAGCACCGGUUCGUUGAGAACUCGCUCAUCGGCGCUUACGUCGCCUGUGGUGACGUCGGUGCCGCACGGAAGGUGUUUGAUGAAAUGGUGGUCAAGGAUGUCAUUUCCUGGACGAGUAUUGUGGUGGCAUACUCCAAGAGCGGCGAUAUGGGUUGCGCCGAGGAGGUGUUUGCGCAGUGCCCGGUGAAGGACAUGGUGGCAUGGACAGCCAUGCUAACUGGUUACGCUCAAAAUUCCAUGCCGGCGAAGGCAUUGGAAGUGUUUGAUCGGAUGGCCACCAUUGGCAUGGGCAUUGACGAGGUCUCAUUGACGGGUGCAAUCUCAGCUUGUGCUCAGCUUGGCGCGGUGAGGCGUGCUGCUUGGGUUCAGGAGAUUGCAGAGAGGAAUGGCUUUGGGCAGAAUGUGGUUGUCGGGUCAGGGUUGGUGGAUAUGUAUGCCAAGUGCGGACUAAUCGAUGAAGCACGCAGUGUUUUUGAUGGGAUGCAGGAGAAGAAUGUUUACACAUAUAGCUCAAUGAUUGUUGGCCUCGCCUCUCAUGGGAGGGCUAAAGAGGCAAUUGCUUUGUUCAAGGACAUGGUUAGGAGGGCCGAUGUGGUGCCCAACCAUGUGACCUUUAUAGGGUUAUUGACAGCUUGCAGCCAUGCAGGGAUGGUCAGAGAUGGGCGCUUCUACUUUGCACAGAUGAAGGACAAAUAUGGGAUAUUGCCAUCUGCAGAUCACUAUACUUGUAUGGUGGAUUUGCUUGGUCGGGCUGGAUUGGUGGACGAAGCUCUGGAUCUUGUGAGGUCAAUGAUCGUGGAGCCUCAUGGCGGGGUGUGGGGAGCGCUGCUUGGGGCUUGUCGGAUCCAUGGGAAUACUGAUGUUGCCAAGGUUGCAGCUGAACAUCUAUUUAAGCUUGAGCCAGAGGGUAUAGGGAACUAUGUGCUGUUAUCGAAUACACUUGCAUCGGCAGGAAAGUGGGAUGAAGUCUCAAAAGUUCGGAAACUAAUGAGAACCCGGGGGCUGAAAAAGGAUCCUGCUGUCAGCUCGUUUGAAGGCAGAGAUGGUUUGGUCCAUCAGUUCUUUGCUGGUGACAAUUCUCAUCCAAAGACCAAUGAAAUAAAGAAGGCAUUAUUAGAGCUAGCUGCGAAAUUGAAGCAUGCUGGUUAUGUGCCAAUCCUGACUUCUAUUGUUUAUGAUGUGAGUGAUGGAGAGAAAGAAAGGCUGUUAAUGGGUCACAGUGAGAAACUUGCUCUGUCGUUUGGAUUGCUGACUCUUGGAUCUAGAUGCACAAUUCGAAUAGUAAAAAAUCUAAGGAUCUGCGAGGAUUGCCAUUUGUUUAUGCGACUUGCCUCAAGAAUUGAGCAGGCUGAGAUUAUAGUCAGGGACAAUAUGAGAUUCCAUCAUUUCAAAGAUGGAGAAUGCUCAUGUGGUGGAUUCUGGUGA
rnacentral:rRNA from 1 species